UACGAAGGGGGCUAGCGUUGUUCGGAAUUACUGGGCGUAAAGCGCGCGCAGGCGGUUCUACAAGUCAGUGGUGAAAGCCCGGAGCUCAACUCCGGAACCGCCAUUGAAACUGCAGAACUUGAGGAUGAGAGAGGUGAGUGGAAUUCCCAGUGUAGAGGUGAAAUUCGUAGAUAUUGGGAAGAACACCGGUGGCGAAGGCGGCUCACUGGCUCAUUUCUGACGCUCAGGCGCGACAGCGUGGGGAUCAAACAGG
rnacentral:rRNA from 1 species